GCACAAGCAGUGGAGUAUGUGGUUUAAUUCGAAGCAACGCGAAGAACCUUACCAGGUCUUGACAUCCAACUAACGAGAUAGAGAUAUGUUAGGUGCCCUUCGGGGAAAGUUGAGACAGGUGGUGCAUGGUUGUCGUCAGCUCGUGUCGUGAGAUGUUGGGUUAAGUCCCGCAACGAGCGCAACCCUUACCAUUAGUUGCUACGCAAGAGCACUCUAAUGGGACUGCCGUUGACAAAA
rnacentral:rRNA from 1 species